GGAGAAGGCAUUCCAUGCGGCCUCCAUCUUGCCUGAGAGCGUUUCUCUUCCGCGCCCUGCGUGUGAGCCCCUGUAGAUCUCUCAAGAUCCCGCGAGAUCAGGCUUCUUCUGCCCAGUGUAGUAGUAGCCGCAGUGCCUAGAACUUGAUUCUGCCUUUCUCUGAGCCUUCGCCGAGGCUCGGUGCGCGAUCCAGGCCCUCUGCUCUCACGACCAGCAUUUUCAAGUCAAGUCAAUUUGAAGUGUACUAUUUCCUUCCAGCAAACACAUGGGAGGGCCUGUCAGCUUGUGCCCUCAAGUGAUUCGGGUCGUGCUGGACAGACCCUAACGUGGCCUUCAGUCUUUUUCCCCCAAAUUCAUCUUUUUAAAGAUGUUUGCAAAGUGCACAACCUUGGAAGAUACAGUGUCCCCCUUCAGAGGCAAAGGCAAAUGUACUUACCCUCCAGUAUGAUGAAAAUGACAUCCUCCUUCAGAAAAAAGGAAAAAUUAGGGAGGUUAUGUCAUCCAUGGAAGGAAGAAUAUGUGACGUAGGAGCACAAUCACUUCUCCAGGACCAGUGGAGAAAAAUAUACAAGUAGGUGGAGGUAAUAUGUUGUGUGACUAGAUGUCUUCACUCUGAAGCAUUGAUGAAUAAAUUUGCAUUUCUCAAUCUCAGUAUAUAGGAAGUUAUUCCAUUAAAAAUAUCCCAACAAUUGUUGGUCAUUCAUUUCUGGGUCAUGUGUAUAUUAUAACUUCCAAGUAGUAUAAUUAUAUGAUUCCACAGUU